GCCGGAGUGGUGAAACUGGUAGACGCAGGGGACUCAAAAUCCCCCGGUGGCAACACCAUGCCGGUUCGAGUCCGGCCUCCGGCA
rnacentral:tRNA from 1 species